rnacentral:rRNA from 1 species
UAGGGAAUCUUCCACAAUGGACGCAAGUCUGAUGGAGCAACGCCGCGUGAGUGAAGAAGGCUUUCGGGUCGUAAAACUCUGUUAUUGAAGAAGAACGUGUGUGACAGUAACUGGUCAUGCAGUGACGGUAUUCAAUCAGAAAGUCACGGCUAACUACGUGCCAGCAGCCGCGGUAAUACGUAGGUGGCAAGCGUUGUCCGGAUUUAUUGGGCGUAAAGCGAGUGCAGGCGGUCUUUUAAGUCUGAUGUGAAAGCCUUCGGCUUAACCGAAGAAGGGCAUCGGAAACUGGGAGACUUGAGUGCAGAAGAGGAGAGUGGAACUCCAUGUGUAGCGGUGAAAUGCGUAGAUAUAUGGAAGAACACCAGUGGCGAAGGCGGCUCUCUGGUCUGUAACUGACGCUGAGGCUCGAAAGCGUGGGUAGCAAACAGG